rnacentral:rRNA from 1 species
UACGUAGGAGGCAAGCGUUGUCCGGAAUUACUGGGUGUAAAGCGCGUGUAGGCGGCAGGCCAAGUCUGUGGUGAAAUCGCUCGGCUCAACUGGGCGGGGUCCAUGGAAACUGGUCAGCUGGAGGACGGUAGAGGUGAGUGGAAUUCCCGGUGUAGUGGUGAAAUGCGUAGAGAUCGGGAGGAACACCCGUGGCGAAGGCGGCUCACUGGGCUGGUCCUGACGCUGAGACGCGAAGGCGUGGGGAGCGAACGGG